CUGACGCGGCGGCUGCUUACCAUGCAUGUCGAACGGUAACAGGCCGCUGGGAUCCCUUCGGGGUGACCUUGGCGCUGACGAGUGGCGGACGGGUGAGUAACGCGUAGGAAUCUGCCUGGCAGCGGGGGACAACUCCGGGAAACCGGAGCUAAUACCGCAUACGCCCUACGGGGGAAAGACGGGGAUCUUCGGACCUGUCACUGCCAGAUGAGCCUGCGUCGGAUUAGCUUGUUGGUGGGGUAACGGCCUACCAAGGCGACGAUCUGUAGCUGGUCUGAGAGGAUGACCAGUCACACUGGGACUGAGACACGGCCCAGACUCCUACGGGAGGCAGCAGUGGGGAAUAUUGGACAAUGGGCGCAAGCCUGAUCCAGCAAUGCCGCGUGUGUGAAGAAGGCCUUCGGGUUGUAAAGCACUUUCAAUCGGGAAGAAAAGCAUUCGGUUAAUACCCGGAUGUCUUGACGGU
rnacentral:rRNA from 1 species